rnacentral:sRNA from 1 species
AUGGGCAGCAGCGCGGCGGGCAUCGAACGAAGGAAAGAAAGAACAAGUGAAUCGGAAACACUGAAAGUAUGGCAUGCACUAUGCGAAUGUCGCCAAUGGCAGCAGGACAUUCUGCUACUAAUAUUUAGCUGUUAACGGUUGAAAUACGUGGGGCAAGAUGGAUCAUUAUUGCCGUAGACAUUUCCUCCUCUACCGAUGGCUUGCAUUUCUCACUGACGAAACGUAAAUCUUAUAUACAUGUCCACAACAGACGAAAUGGAGUUUGAUUUGCUACUAUAUAUACAUGCUAUAUGGAUUGUUGCCCCCAGGCGCUCCUCCUAUCUUUUU